AGUGUUUACACAUGGACAACUGUAUGUUGCUCUGUCACGGGUGACAAGUAGGGAAGGGUUAAAGAUUUUAGUUUACGACGAUGAUGGGAAAAUAACAAAUGGAGCCAAAAAUGUAGUGUACAAAGAGGUUUUUCGUAAUUUGAUUUGAGAGAUUGUUAAAUAAACUUUUCGCUUAAUUGUUAUCUUUUACUGUUGUCUUUUGAUCUUUUGGUCUUAACAUGCCAGACAGAUUGCUAAAUGAAUUGAUCAUGUGAAUUGCUUCUUCUUAAUCAAAAUGAGGAUUUUAUCCCAGUACUCUUUGUUCUCAAUCUUCUUCACAAAGCAUAUCAAUUUCGUGGCUGAAUACCAAUCAAUGGUUCGCUGAAGGCAGAUAUAUUAUGAGCAGCAUGGUAGUGAGGCUCUAAUUUGUAGUGACAGUGAGGAGGAUAUUGCUGAACCAGAGGAAGAGAAACGUUAGUUCUAUGAGAGGGAGGACAAAAUUCUUUGUUUUGAAGAGAAAAACUGACCAUAGAUGUUUUGGAGAGCUGAAUUUGUAGCCACUGAGGAGUAAUUGGAAGUCAUGAAACAAUGGUGGCAAAUUCCAUGGUUACUCAUGUAAAUUAUUAAUUUCAGACAAAGGAGCUGGAAGCAUUAAUUAGACGAUUAAGAAGUUCAACAAAGGUAUA